rnacentral:lncRNA from 1 species
AAGAGUCCCCUGGGAAAUGACCUCGAGCUGGCUGGUGGCUGGGGAGGAUCGAGCUGGUGAGAUUGCCUGACCUUGUGUUUUGAGGGGGAGAGGAGGGUGGGUGGAGAGGGCGAGGAAUAUCCUGAGAGGAGAGGAUCUGAGCAUGUGGAACUUGACCCGGAACAAGGCCUUAGUCGUCAGGGUGGGAGGAAGUCCUGAAUACAGUGCAGCAACUGUCCUGGGAACGCGUCCUUGGUCCUGCCAUGCUGGCUGGAUCCCGGGGCUAAAGGGGAAGUGCUGAUGCAGUCAACAGCAGACUGUUCUGGAGCACUAGCACGUUGCCCUGAGAGUCCUCUAGGGUCAAACACUGCUCAGAACAAAGCACAGGGUGGUGGGGGUUUUUUUGUUUUUGUUUUUUUUUUUUUUACGUACCUGCCUCUCAGGACUUACCUGGAAGUUCAGGGGCUUGCCAACUGGCAGACUGUUUCCUGUUGGGUUCAGGGCACAAUGGAAUCUACAUGGAGAAACGCAGAGUUGAGAUAUGGAGAUGUGUCCCAGUGACCAUGUUUGAACACUCUCAUGUGGCCAUAUCUGGACUUUGGAGUUCCACGAGUCAAUAUAUUCCCUUUAUUGCUCAAAUCACUUUGUGUUGGGCUCUUAUUGAAAGGUGAGCAAAUUGACA